AUCCUUUUUCUGGUGGAAAAGAAAACCUAACAGGUUUUGGAAAAGGGUCUUAACCCUUAAAACUUGUGCUAUAAAUACAUAAGGUUUUCCACCUAGAGGGAUGAGUACAUGGUGGCUGAAAUUUUCAGCCAAGUUUUCCUAGAAAUUGUGCCCACACGAAAUUGCUAUUUUCGGGUAUUAUUUGGGUAACACAGUAGAAGACCGUGGAACGUUCGAGGAUCACGAUUGUGCGGGUGAUGGAGAUUCCAUU